rnacentral:rRNA from 1 species
AUUGAGCGCUGGCGGAAUGCUUUACACAUGCAAGUCGAGCGGCAGCGCGGCCUUCGGGCUGGCGGCGAGCGGCGAACGGGUGAGUAAUGCAUCGGAACAUGCCCAGUCGUGGGGGAUAACACUUCGAAAGAAGUGCUAAUACCGCAUACGUCCUGAGGGGGAAAGCGGGGGAUCGCAAGACCUCGCGCGAUUGGAGUGGCCGAUGGCAGAUUAGCUAGUUGGUGGGGUAAAGGCCUACCAAGGCGACGAUCGGUAGCUGGUCUGAGAGGAUGAUCAGCCACACUGGGACUGAGACACGGCCCAGACUCCUACGGGAGGCAGCAGUGGGGAAUUUUGGACAAUGGGGGCAACCCUGAUCCAGCCAUUCCGCGUGAGUGAAGAAGGCCUUCGGGUUGUAAAGCUCUUUCGGCAGGAACGAAACGGUGGGCUCUAACAUAGUCCGCUAAUGACGGUACCUGAAGAAGAAGCACCGGCUAACUACGUG